rnacentral:rRNA from 1 species
AACGAACGCUGGCGGCAGGCCUAACACAUGCAAGUCGAGCGCGCCCUUCGGGGUGAGCGGCGGACGGGUGAGUAACGCGUGGGAACGUGCCCUUUUCUACGGAAUAGCCUCGGGAAACUGAGAGUAAUACCGUAUACGCCCUUUGGGGGAAAGAUUUAUCGGAAAAGGAUCGGCCCGCGUUGGAUUAGGUAGUUGGUGGGGUAAUGGCCUACCAAGCCGACGAUCCAUAGCUGGUUUGAGAGGAUGAUCAGCCACACUGGGACUGAGACACGGCCCAGACUCCUACGGGAGGCAGCAGUGGGGAAUCUUGGACAAUGGGGGCAAGCCUGAUCUAGCCAUGCCGCGUGAGUGAUGAAGGCCUUAGGGUUGUAAAGCUCUUUCAGCUGGGAAGAUAAUGACGGUACCAGCAGAAGAAGCCCCGGCUAACUCCGUG